rnacentral:rRNA from 1 species
AGUGAGCGCUGGCGGUAGGCCUAACACAUGCAAGUCGAACGGCAGCACAGUAAGAGCUUGCUCUUACGGGUGGCGAGUGGCGGACGGGUGAGGAAUACAUCGGAAUCUACUUUUUCGUGGGGGAUAACGUAGGGAAACUUACGCUAAUACCGCAUACGACCUACGGGUGAAAGCGGGGGAUCUUCGGACCUUGCGCGAUUGAAUGAGCCGAUGUCGGAUUAGUUAGUUGGCGGGGUAAAGGCCCACCAAGGCGGAGAUCCGUAGCUGGUCUGAGAGGAGGAUCAGCCACACUGGAACUGAGAGACGGGCCAGACACCGACGGGAGGCAGCAGUGGGGAAUAUUGGACAAUGGGCGCAAGCCUGAUCCAGCCAUACCGCGUGGGUGAAGAAGGCCUUCGGGUUGUAAAGCCCUUUUGUUGGGAAAGAAAAGCAGCAGGUUAAUACCCCGCUGUUCUGACGGUACCCAAAGAAUAAGCACCGGCGAACUUCGU